rnacentral:rRNA from 1 species
UUAACACAUGCAAGUCGAACGCCCCGCAAGGGGAGUGGCAGACGGGUGAGUAACGCGUGGGAACAUACCCUUUCCUGCGGAAUAGCUCCGGGAAACUGGAAUUAAUACCGCAUACGCCCUACGGGGGAAAGAUUUAUCGGGGAAGGAUUGGCCCGCGUUGGAUUAGCUAGUUGGUGGGGUAAAGGCCUACCAAGGCGACGAUCCAUAGCUGGUCUGAGAGGAUGAUCAGCCACAUUGGGACUGAGACACGGCCCAAACUCCUACGGGAGGCAGCAGUGGGGAAUAUUGGACAAUGGGCGCAAGCCUGAUCCAGCCAUGCCGCGUGAGUGAUGAAGGCCUUAGGGUUGUAAAGCUCUUUCACCGAUGAAGAUAAUGACGGUAGUCGGAGAAGAAGCCCCGGCUAACUUCGUGCCAGCAGCCGCGGUAAUACGAAGGGGGCUAGCGUUGUUCGGAAUUACUGGGCGUAAAGCGCACGUAGGCGGAUAUUUAAGUCAGGGGUGAAAUCCCGCAGCUCAACUGCGGAACUGCCUUUGAUACUGGGUAUCUUGAGUAUGGGAGAGGUAAGUGGAAUUCCGAGUGUAGAGGUGAAAUUCGUAGAUAUUCGGGAGGAACACCAGUGGCGAAAGCGGCUUAAUGGUCCAUUACUGAGGCUGAAGUGCCAAAACGUGGGGAGCAAACAGGAUUAGAUAGCCUGGGGGGCCCCGCCGUAAAACAUGAGAUGUUGCCGUCUGAAAACAUGCGUGUUCAGUGGCGAAUCUGACGCCUUAAACAUGCCGCC